UGAUGUCCCUGUAGGGUAGAAAACUUCUCUGUCGAAUCCGCUGAUUUGAUUGCUUGGUCUUCUGGUUUCAGACCCUCUGUUCUCCUUCUGGGGUGCCUGGACCCUGAUUGUGACAUCUCUCUGGCCCAGCCUCUUACACAGAUGUGUGCUGCAGCCAGCCCAGCGCAGGGAGCAGUGGGGACAGAUGAUCUCCUCCUGUCAGACCAAGCAACAUGGGUCCCAUUGAGGCUUAGAUGGAAGAUCCCAGGCAUCUCCUGGAGAGGAUGCAUCUGGUAUCCUGGAGACUGUUUGUUUCGUGCAGGAGGUUUGAGCGGGGAGAGAUCACUCACUGUCAUGACCCAUGGGUCAUUAACCCAGGUCUGCAGGGUUCCUGGGAGCAGCCACCCUCCAGCACGCCACCUGGAAGCCU